UGGUAACAGACUUUUAAAAAAAAUUCUUUAAAGGGAUUUUUGUUGGUGUUUUUAAUUUUACUUGGUGCUAGAUUUUGGGUGUGAUUUAUUUAAAGUAUGUGACAUUGAGCAAAGAAAAAAAAUCCUGGCACAAGAAUGAAGGAUUCUGGGCCUGGACCUGGCUCCUUUGCCCUGUGAUUUUGGCAGUAAAACAGGCACAGUCUUUCGCACAGUGUCUGGCCCAAUAGUAGAUGGUCUGCCAGAGGAGAAUAAAGGUAGCAAAGAAGAAAGACAAUAAUCCCUAUCUACCUCAUUCUAACAUUAUUUAUGCCUGCAACAUUAACUAUGGAAUGCGAAUGCUGCAUGUGAGAAUAUCAUAUGAUUCCACUCAGAAUUCAAAAAAGCUUUAACACACAGUCGUGGAUCAUCUCAGGAGAAAGAAAUUGAACAAACACAAUAUUGAAGACAAGGAUCUUCAUUGUCUUAGAAGUCAUAAAACAGCACAACCUCCAGUUUAAUUUCAACAUCCAACUAUUCAGAAUUAUACAAGGUUUUAGUUUCUAAGAGUUAUGUAAUAUGUAUUUAAUUCACUGCCUUCCAAGCCGAGGUUAAUGCAUUCUUUUUGAUUUAUGGGGUUUUUUGUUUGUUUGUUUUUGUUGUUUUUUUCUCCCCAAACCACUAAAGACCUUUCUUACUAAUCUACAAAUAGUAUUUUUUUCUCUUUUUAAACAUUGUACAUUUUCAUAGAUUUUGUUUCUGCCUUUUAAAAUUAUCAUUUAUCCACAGCUUCUUGGUCAAGACUCAUACAAACUAGGUGUUACUACUACUUGGUUAUGCAGAUUGUUUUAAACAUCUCUGAAAAAGUCAGGUGAAUACUCCACCAUUAUUUUUAUCUUACUGUCAGACUUUGUGAGCUGAAUCUUAAACAUCCCAAUCUGACAUCAAAAUCAAAACAGAUCCCUUUUUCCUCUAAAUAAAUGAGCUGUUUGUCAGGGCUGACUAGUGUGUUUUAAAGGAUAUCUUAGCCAAGGGUAUUAUUUUAAGAGAUGAGCAAAUGGGGAAACCCCACGGCCCAGCCAAUAAAAUAUGAACUUAAGGUGCAAAGAAGCACUCAUAAAUAUUACUUAGAACAAGGGAUUCAUUGUUUCUCUCCAACCCUUUCAGUGGUUCCUCUGAUCUCAGCCCCUCUCCUGUGCGUCAGGGAAGCCUCUUCCUUUAACCUGUGGUUUUUUAAAGCUGAGCUACUACAUUAUUUAUGACUGUAAAUGUGAGUAGCUUGUCUGUAUGCUCCUUGUACACACAUACUGAGACAACCCCCUCCUUCCCCACUUCGGUAUUUUAGUGUGUAAGGAUGAAAGGGUUUUCCCCUCGAGCUGAUGUGGUUGGGGAUGUUGAAUUAGCUGCUGUUUGGUAUGAGGUAGACUGAGGAUUUCCCAGCAUCUCCUCCACCUGUACAACUGAAAAACCAGCCUUUAAUGACUCAUUUCAUUCCUUUUCUUUCUUUCAGGCUCUUUUUCAAAAAUAUUUUCUUUCUUUCUCUGUCUCAUCCUUAUUCCUGUAUGCCUCUAUAUCUCACUCUUCGUCUCUUUAUUCUUUCUCAUUAUCUCUUUUCAAAAAAAAAUAAUUUCUUCAUGGAAGUGACAGAAUAUUAAAUAAGGAUAAUAAACACAAAAGCUUUUU
rnacentral:lncRNA from 1 species